GCAUGUCUAAGUAUAAGCAAUUAUACAGCGAAACUGCGAAUGGCUCAUUAUAUAAGUUAUCGUUUAUUUGAUAGUACCUUACUACUUGGAUAACCGUGGUAAUUCUAGAGCUAAUACAUGCUAAAAAUCCCGACUUCGGAAGGGAUGUAUUUAUUAGAUUAAAAACCAAUGCCCUCUGGGCUCCUUGGUGAUUCAUGAUAACUCUUCGAAUCGCACGGCCUUGCGCCGGCGAUGGUUCAUUCAAAUUUCUUCCCUAUCAACUUUCGAUGUUUGGGUCUUGGCCAAACAUGGUCGCAACGGGUAACGGAGGGUUAGGGCUCGACCCCGGAGAAGGAGCCUGAGAAACGGCUACUACAUCCAAGGAAGGCAGCAGGCGCGCAAAUUACCCAAUCCCGAUUCGGGGAGGUAGUGACAAUAAAUACUGAUACAGGGCUCUUUUGGGUCUUGUAAUUGGAAUGAGUACAAUUUAAAUCCCUUAACGAGGAACAAUUGGAGGGCAAGUCUGGUGCCAGCAGCCGCGGUAAUUCCAGCUCCAAUAGCGUAUAUUAAAGUUGUUGUGGUUAAAAAGCUCGUAGUUGAACCUUGGGCCUGGCUGGCCGGUCCGCCUCACCGCGUGUACUGGUCCGGCCGGGCCUUUCCCUCUGUGGAACCCCAUGCCCUUCACUGGGUGUGGCGGGGAAACAGGACUUUUACUUUGAAAAAAUUAGAGUGCUCCAGGCAGGCCUAUGCUCGAAUACAUUAGCAUGGAAUAAUGAAAUAGGACGCGUGGUUCUAUUUUGUUGGUUUCUAGGACCGCCGUAAUGAUUAAUAGGGACAGUCGGGGGCAUCAGUAUUCAAUUGUCAGAGGUGAAAUUCUUGGAUUUAUUGAAGACUAACUACUGCGAAAGCAUUUGCCAAGGAUGUUUUCAUUAAUCAGGAACGAAAGUUAGGGGAUCGAAGACGAUCAGAUACCGUCGUAGUCUUAACCAUAAACUAUGCCGACUAGGGAUCGGACGAUGUUAUUUUUUGACGCGUUCGGCACCUUACGAGAAAUCAAAGUGCUUGGGCUCCAGGGGGAG
rnacentral:rRNA from 1 species